GAAAGUAAUAAAGGGCGUAUGGGGGAUGCCUAGGCUCUUGGAGGCGAAGAAAGACGUGGUAAG
rnacentral:rRNA from 1 species